rnacentral:lncRNA from 1 species
GCGAGAGCACUGCAUUCUUAUUUUCAGGAUUUCAUUUAUCAGAAGUCUCGAUCAUCUUCCUUAACUUAAUGUUAUACUAAGAAUCUUCGGUUAAAUGUACUCAGUAUAACCUUGGCUACUAUUUAUAAACAAUCUGGUUCCCCUGUUGAAGUGUAUGACGUAGAACCGGAUCAUGUUUGACAUAGUACGUGGAUGUUGAUCACAGCGCUACUUUUACUCCUGGGAUUCUCCUCUUGAGUGGUGUAAGGCGUCACUUUGUAACUGACUCUCAUUCAAUUGGCACAUAAGUCAUCAUCA